rnacentral:misc_RNA from 1 species
GAUGAAGAACGUAUCGAAAUGCGAUAAGUAGUGUGAAUUGCAGAAUUCAGUGAAUCAUCGAAUCUUUGAACGCACAUUGCGCCCGCCAGUAUUCUGGCGGGCAUGCCUGUUCGAGCGUCAUUUCAACCAUCAAGCCCCCGGCUUGUGUUGGGGACCUGCGGCUGCCGCAGGCCCUGAAAACCAGUGGCGGGCUCGCUAGUCACUCCGAGCGUAGUAAUACAUCUCGCUCAGGGCGUGCUGCGGGUUCCGGCCGUUAAAAAGCCUUAUUUACCCAAGGUUGACCUCGGAUCAGGUAGGAAGACCCGCUGAACUUAAGCAUAUCAAUAAGCGGAGGA